GCAAGUGAUCGGUGGGGGAGGGGAGCAACGGUUAGCGUCUGAUACCAGAGAAAAGCAUCAUCAGUCUCAGUGAAUAUAACAUAGUAAACGGAUUUUAUCUCAAAUUUAAUCUCGAUUACAGAUAGCAGAUAACGAGAAUCUGAAGAACAUGAAGAUGGACUGGUUUCACAUGCAGAUGUUGCAGCAUCUGCAUCUGAUAUUGAAAAGACACUCAAUCUACCUGCCAAUCCUCAUCUGAUUUUGCUGGGUUAGUGUGUCAUUACACAUGAUGAAGAGACAUUUACUGAUGUUUAAGAUAUAA